GUGGAAUUUUGACGAAUUAUAUUUCAAUAAAACGAUGUAGUUCCGAUAUUUUGCUUACGCCAUCUUUGUCUCCCCCGUUGCGCAGAAGCAUCCUUUGAAUUGUGGAAAUGCAACACAUGAAAACCGAUCCGUAAAAGCUUCAAUUGCGGAAGAACCCUAAACCCAAUCCUACGAAACUUCUGGUAUCUACUUGUCUGUUCUUUUCUAUUCAAGUUCAGUAUAAGCUUCAAUCUACCGUGACAUUUUUUUGUUCUCAUGAUGAAGCUAGGUUUUCUCAAAGUAAUUAUUUCAUAUCACGAUGAAAGAAUGAUCAAACUUGAGGAGUUAAAGGUUCAAACAAUUUGAGUGGAUUGGCGCAGUGUUCUUCAAAGUAUAUUGUAAUCGAUUUAGUAUGUUCUCCGUGGUUAUCCCGCUGCGGAUCCAUAGUUUUCAGAUCCAUGGAAGAUAAAAUUGAAAAUUCAAGAAGAGAUGAAGCUUCUUACUCUCAUAAUAGCGAAAUGGCAGAUGCAAUGAGCCUAAAAUUUGAUCAGGAUUGGGAAGAUUGCAGAACGGUGCUGGCAAUUGACCCUAAACACAAAAUUGUCUUUGUCAGAUUUUGCUUUACAAAAAGCUAGAACAUAUAACAGGAAAUUGUUGAAUAUUCUGGUGUUGCAUCAACAAUUAAUACUCUUAAAUGGAAACAGUUGUCAAAAGUGAAGCUGAUAGUGGAAUGGAGGAUGAUUUGAAAGAGUUUUGAUGUAUUUCAGAUUAAGAUUGUGUCUGCUAUCAUUAGAUCACAAUUAGAUGUAUAUUUGGAAGAACCCGGAGUUGAUUGAAAGCAAAUUCCUCAUUUGGGUAUAUCUUGUGUAUAUAUAUAUAUAUAUAUGGCCUUCUUAAACUCUGAAGCUUGUGAAGAUUCUGAUGAUGAUCAAGCAAUUGCUACAGAUAUUCAGGAGCUUGCUACUGAACUUUGUUGCCUUGCCAAUUAGAUUAACUGGUUUGUUCUAUUCUGUUACGUAUACCUGUGUAUUUUUUAUGGUCUGAGACUAAUAUUGAUUGUGUCAAGUAGAAUUUUAAGGGGCACAUGCCUCGGACAUGAAGGUAGCUGCAUUCCCAUGCCUCGGGACAUGAAGGUAGCUGCAUUCCCAUGCCUCGGGACAUGAAGGUCAAGGCUGCAGUUCUUAGUAAAGGUGAGGUUCAGUACAGGCAGUGAACCGAGUUUGAGUUCAUAUUUGCUAGUGCAGUAAUGAAUCAUAUAAUUUAUGUUGAAUGCUCUGCUCCAUUUGGUAUUGCCUGCUGCCUAGCUGCCAUCUAUUUGUUGUUUGGUGCAUUUAAGAUAGAACGGAGAUUGAAUCUGUGACCUCCAACUUAAGAUAUCGAUCACUAGACUACAAAAAAGUCGUUUCCAGAUAUGUGUUGCCCACUUUUUUAAACCCACAGUUGUUCAUUCACACUUUAUCCAAUCUGUCCAUUUGACAACAGUGGGAUUAUUUGUUUGUGAUGCAAAAUUUUUCAAAUUUAUUCUUCUCUGUGUA